GUUGGUGAACCAGCGGAGGGAUCAUUACCGAGUUACCAAACUCCAAACCCAAUGUGAACCUUACCAUAUCGUUGCUUCGGUGGGCGGCUCCGGGGGAGCCCUCCUGGCCUUGCGGUGCCCGCCGAAAGCCCCAAACUCUUCUUUUUUACAGCGGUACACACCUCUGAGUGACAAAAAACAAACAAGUAAAAACUUUCAACAACGGAUCUCUUGGUUCUGGCAUCGAUGAAGAACGCAGCAUCUGACUGAC
rnacentral:misc_RNA from 1 species